AAUGAACGCUGGCGGCAGGCUUAGCACAUGCAAGUCGAGCGGGGUGAUGGUGCUUGCACUAUCACUUAGCGGCGGACGGGUGAGUAAUGCUUAGGAAUCUGCCUAUUAGUGGGGGACAACAUCUCGAAAGGGAUGCUAAUACCGCGUACGUCCUACGGGAGAAAGCAGGGGAUCACUUGUGACCUUGCGCUAAUAGAUGAGCCUAAGUCGGAUUAGCUAGUUGGUGGGGUAAAGGCCUACCAAGGCGACGAUCUGUAGCGGGUCUGAGAGGAUGAUCCGCCACACUGGGACUGAGACACGGCCCAGACGCCUACGGGAGGCAGCAGUGGGGAAUAUUGGACAAUGGGGGGAACCCUGAUCCAGCCAUGCCGCGUGUGUGAAGAAGGCCUUAUGGUUGUAAAGCACUUUAAGCGAGGAGGAGGCUCUUUUGGUUAAUACCCAAGAUGAGUGGACGUUACUCGCAGAAUAAGCACCGGCUAACUCCGUGCCAGCCGCCGCGGUAA
rnacentral:rRNA from 1 species